rnacentral:other from 1 species
UUUUCCCUGGAGUCCGCGUGAUUUGCGCCUCGGCGCUAACCUGACAAGCAUAUGCAAAAGGGCGUCGGUCUCUGCGGCCCGUGUGCAAGCCCGCUUCGGGCGGGAAGCCUGACGGCCGCAUACGGAUGCCCGACCUGGGAAACCAGGUUCUGCACCGCAGGCGCGACACGGUUCUCUGGGGUUCUU